rnacentral:rRNA from 1 species
GGGUUGUGAGGUUAAGCGACUAAGCGUACACGGUGGAUGCCUAGGCAGUCAGAGGCGAUGAAGGGCGUGCUAAUCUGCGAAAAGCGUCGGUAAGCUGAUAUGAAGCGUGACAACCGACGAUACCCGAAUGGGGAAACCCAGUGCAAUUCGUUGCACUAUUGCAUGGUGAAUACAUAGCCAUGCAAGGCGAACCGGGGGAACUGAAACAUCUAAGUACCCCGAGGAAAAGAAAUCAACCGAGAUUCCCCCAGUAGCGGCGAGCGAACGGGGAAGAGCCCAGAGUCUGAAUCAGUUUAUGUGUUAGUGGAAGCGUCUGGAAAGUCGCACGGUACAGGGUGAUAGUCCCGUACACAAAAAUGCAUAUUCUGUGAACUCGAUGAGUAGGGCGGGACACGUGACAUCCUGUCUGAAUAUGGGGGGACCAUCCUCCAAGGCUAAAUACUCCUGACUGACCGAUAGUGAACCAGUACCGUGAGGGAAAGGCGAAAAGAACCCCGGCGAGGGGAGUGAAAUAGAACCUGAAACCGUGUACGUACAAGCAGUGGGAGCACCUUCGUGGUGUGACUGCGUACCUUUUGUAUAAUGGGUCAGCGACUUAUAUUUUGUAGCAAGGUUAACCGAAUAGGGGAGCCGUAGGGAAACCGAGUCUUAACUGGGCGUCUAGUUGCAAGGUAUAGACCCGAAACCCGGUGAUCUAGCCAUGGGCAGGUUGAAGGUUGGGUAACACUAACUGGAGGACCGAACCGACUAAUGUUGAAAAAUUAGCGGAUGACUUGUGGCUGGGGGUGAAAGGCCAAUCAAACCGGGAGAUAGCUGGUUCUCCCCGAAAGCUAUUUAGGUAGCGCCUCGUGAACUCAUCUUCGGGGGUAGAGCACUGUUUCGGCUAGGGGGUCAUCCCGACUUACCAAACCGAUGCAAACUCCGAAUACCGAAGAAUGUUAUCACGGGAGACACACGGCGGGUGCUAACGUCCGUCGUGAAGAGGGAAACAACCCAGACCGCCAGCUAAGGUCCCAAAGUCAUGGUUAAGUGGGAAACGAUGUGGGAAGGCAUAGACAGCCAGGAUGUUGGCUUAGAAGCAGCCAUCAUUUAAAGAAAGCGUAAUAGCUCACUGGUCGAGUCGGCCUGCGCGGAAGAUGUAACGGGGCUAAACCAUGCACCGAAGCUGCGGCAGCGACGCUUAGGCGUUGUUGGGUAGGGGAGCGUUCUGUAAGCCGUUGAAGGUGACCUGUGAGGGUUGCUGGAGGUAUCAGAAGUGCGAAUGCUGACAUAAGUAACGAUAAUGCGGGUGAAAAACCCGCACGCCGGAAGACCAAGGGUUCCUGUCCAACGUUAAUCGGGGCAGGGUGAGUCGACCCCUAAGGCGAGGCUGAAAAGCGUAGUCGAUGGGAAACAGGUUAAUAUUCCUGUACUUGGUGUUACUGCGAAGGGGGGACGGAGAAGGCUAGGCUAGCCGGGCGACGGUUGUCCCGGUUUAAGCAUGUAGGCGGAGUGACUUGGUAAAUCCGGUUGCUUAUCAACGCUGAGGUGUGAUGACGAUGCACUACGGUGCAGAAGUAGUUGAUGCCAAGCUUCCAGGAAAAGCCUCUAAGCAUCAGGUAACAUUAAAUCGUACCCCAAACCGACACAGGUGGUCAGGUAGAGAAUACUCAGGCGCUUGAGAGAACUCGGGUGAAGGAACUAGGCAAAAUGGUGCCGUAACUUCGGGAGAAGGCACGCUGGCAUUAGGUAAAGAGACUUGCUCUCGGCGCCGAAGCCAGUCGCAGAUACCAGCUGGCUGCAACUGUUUAAUAAAAACACAGCACUGUGCAAACACGAAAGUGGACGUAUACGGUGUGACGCCUGCCCGGUGCUGGAAGGUUAAUUGAUGGGGUCAGCCUUACGGCGAAGCUCUUGAUCGAAGCCCCAGUAAACGGCGGCCGUAACUAUAACGGUCCUAAGGUAGCGAAAUUCCUUGUCGGGUAAGUUCCGACCUGCACGAAUGGCGUAAUGAUGGCCAGGCUGUCUCCACCCGAGACUCAGUGAAAUUGAACUCGCUGUGAAGAUGCAGUGUACCCGCGGCAAGACGGAAAGACCCCGUGAACCUUUACUAUAGCUUGACACUGAACAUUGAGCCUUGAUGUGUAGGAUAGGUGGGAGGCAUUGAAGUGUGGACGCCAGUCUGCAUGGAGCCAACCUUGAAAUACCACCCUUUAAUGUUUGAUGUUCUAACUCGGCCCCGUAAUCCGGGGUGAGGACAGUGUCUGGUGGGUAGUUUGACUGGGGCGGUCUCCUCCCAAAGAGUAACGGAGGAGCACGAAGGUUAGCUAAUCACGGUCGGACAUCGUGAGGUUAGUGCAAAGGCAUAAGCUAGCUUGACUGCGAGAGUGACGGCUCGAGCAGGUACGAAAGUAGGUCUUAGUGAUCCGGUGGUUCUGAAUGGAAGGGCCAUCGCUCAACGGAUAAAAGGUACUCCGGGGAUAACAGGCUGAUACCGCCCAAGAGUUCAUAUCGACGGCGGUGUUUGGCACCUCGAUGUCGGCUCAUCACAUCCUGGGGCUGAAGUAGGUCCCAAGGGUAUGGCUGUUCGCCAUUUAAAGUGGUACGCGAGCUGGGUUUAGAACGUCGUGAGACAGUUCGGUCCCUAUCUGCCGUGGGCGUUGGAAGAUUGAGAGGGGCUGCUCCUAGUACGAGAGGACCGGAGUGGACGAAUCACUGGUGUUCGGGUUGUCAUGCCAAUGGCAUUGCCCGGUAGCUAAAUUCGGAAGAGAUAACCGCUGAAAGCAUCUAAGCGGGAAACUUGCCUCGAGAUGAGUCUUCCCUGGGGCUUUAAGCCCCCUGAAGGAACGUUAAAGACUAUGACGUUGAUAGGCUGGGUGUGUAAGUGCAGCGAUGCAUUGAGCUAACCAGUACUAAUGAUCCGUGAGGCUUAACCUUACAACACCAAAGGUGUUUUG